UAAAAGUUCUGCAGCUUAACAUCGAGGCAUCGUUCAACAAGAUUGCGGGGAGCAAGACAAGCAUCAAGACCACCUCCGUGUUUGUGGAGUCAUACAACCAGAGGAUCUACCUCCGGGACCAUGCAAGGGCCAUCCAAACCCUCCCACUCAACUCUGAUUUCCUCAGUGACUUGCGCAACCUUCCCGAGCCACCCAGCUCCGACAGCGCUUGGGGGCCAUACCAAUCCUUCUUGAACAAGUGGGGAACGCACUACGUGGCCGAGAUGUUCCACGGCUCAUGGCUGCGCCAGUGGACCGUGGCCUCCUCCACGGCGACGUUCACCGAGCGCCAAAUGCAGGCCAAAGCCUGUGCCAAGCUCACCGGCCUCAAGGGAGUCCUCCCCAACAUGGAGGGCUGCGCGGGUAUCACUCUUGAGGAGAUGCGCGCCGCGGAGGGGAUCAACACGCAAGACACUCGAGAGGCCCGGGGUGGAUCCUCCGCCACCGUCUCGCAGCUGCUCUCGGGUGACAUAACCAACGAUCUCAUCCGGAAGUUCAUCGAGGAGGGAGCCACGAGCAAGGAAGCAGUACGCUACGGCUUCUUUCCAGUGUGGGUGCCCGUCUUGUCUCAGUACAUGUCGUCCGCGUCCAUGGAGUGGAGAGUGGCAACGGCGCUCCAGGCUUACUAUGAAGGCUUCCUCGCCUUCAAGUGUCCCCUGGACCAGCUCAACACACCCGCGACUGUCUUGCAGCAGUUUCGGAGGCUCAGCAAUGGCAAGUAUCAGUGCGUUCGCCAGUGCCAGGGCUGCAGGCUUGACAAGGAUUGCAACCUUAGUGGUGUAUCUGGAUGCUAUUGCUACGGUAACUCGUGCAUCAACGCUCUGGGACCGGAUGGCCGAGCUCAGGUUCAGCGGCAGAAGGAUAACCUCGACCGUAAUGUGCUGCCUAACAGGUCGUGUGAGUACAACUUUCCUCAGUGCCGCUGCAACACCAAAUCCAAAGAGGCGAAUUGUGGUGCUGACAACAUGAUUCCGAUAUGGGACCAGGGUCAAAACAGCAUUGCGAUCGAUUCAAACAUCCUUCUUUAUGACAAAGAAUGAGCCAAACAUGAUUGUGUGUUUGUUGUUUGUGAUUUGCAUUGCAUUACGUCUCUACAAUAACAUGCAUCUCUAUGUAUAUUUUCCAUGGUUGUGUGUGGUUUGUAUUUAACAGUCCUGUGUUUUCAAAAAGAAUAAAUAAAAAGAUGUUAAGUUAUACAAUACAAUUCGCAAGAGUCGGCAGCUGUGUACACUGUGUAGGUGAAAGAUGACUUCCAUGUACUAUAUGAGCUCCCCAAGACAUGCACAUCUCAGCUGGAAGACCUUUCUGUCCUGGCAUGAGUGGGAUCAAGUAACUCUUCUGAGCAGGAUCCAGCAGUUGCAAAGAGUGGCCUAAAUUGGAGCAGCUGCAAUCAAGACCUGGUGGUAAAUUGUGUAUACUUGAAUUAGACUUGGAAAAACAUUAUCACUAAAUUGUUUGUGAGUGCAUGAAAUAUGGAAAGGGAAUAUAAAAAUGUGCAUAUCAAUUAGCCCAAAAACCUUAGCUUAUAUACAGAAGCGAGUGGUCUGGAUUGAAACUAAUAUGACAGCUACCAAAAUCCCACUAUGCUAAUAUUAGUAUACGGCAUCGUAGCCAUACACUAAUGGAAGACUAUCAGGGUUCUCUUGUAAACGGGCUGGGAUCUAGAGGAACAUCAGGAGGAGGCAUCGGCGCAUCUGUAGACGGUAUUAACUGCUCCUGAUCCUUUUGUAUGAAGCAUUUCAACUGCUGCACAUGCACAAUCUCUAGAGGCUUGGCCUACUAGACGUCAUGCCGAACCUUAUAAACUUGUGGUGUAACUUGCCGCAACACCUGAUAUGGUCCUUUCCAUUGUGCAAGGAGCCCCUUAGAUAAACCACGUACCGUAAGAUGGGGAAAAUGGACUAACACUAAAUCAUCCACUUUGUACUCCGUAGGUAGACGAUGAUGGGAGUUAUACCACCGUUGUUGUCCCACUUGUACGUGGCCUAAGUAUUUGGUAGACUCUGCUCGGACAAGUGGAAAAAUGCUCGUCAAAUAUUGAUCCCAUGACCUAGCAUUUGUAGCUUGUGGCAAUCGUGAAGGUAAACCCAGCUCCGUUGGUAAUAUUGGAUCAUGAUCAUAUAGAAGUUUAUAUGGUGAAGCACCAAUAUAACUCUACACCCCAGUGAUAUAUAUAUACCAAAUAGAUGGCAAAUAAUUAUCCCAAUCCGAAUGCUAAAAAUUCACAUACUUCACAAUCAUCCCCUUGAAUGUCCGAAUGAGCCGUUCCACCAAGCUAUUUGAUUGUGGAUGGUAAACAAUGUGGUGUAUCCCCAACCAAAACAUCAAAACAUGAAAUGCCUCAGCCAUAAAUGUGGGACCAUUAUCCGAAAGAAUCCAUUCUGGAACACCACUCGAUUGAGGAGGAAGUAUCCAAUAUCAGUUGCAGAGACGCUAGUAAGAGCACCAACUUCCACCCAAUGAGUUAAAUAGUCAUAAACAAUAAUAACAUACUCAUUACCAAUAGUCUACCGUGAAAAAGAUCCCUUAAGAUCAAAUGCGACCAACUCAAAUGGACGGAAAACUACAAUUGACUCCAACCAUCCUUCCGCAACCCGAGGGGGAGUAUUACAAGUAUUACGAAUUAUUAAGAAUUCCUCCUCGCGGCUUUUUCACUCUGUCCUGCCACCAACGAAGAUUCAACUCCACCAUCGAUCAAGGAAUGAAGGCGUUCUCGAGGAUUCUAAAAGGAACUCACUCCUUUUCAACCUAGAUCCAGCUAAGUUCCUCGAAUGAUACAUAUUUCCGACAGCCUGCAACAUGAAAAAGAAGAAAAAUCUAAAGCCAUGCCAAGACCCACAAUUUUUGGGUGAGAAGAAUUAAGUACCUUGAAGAAAGCCUCCUUCUGGGGCACCUCAACAAGCGUGGAGCCUCCACUCCGUUCCAAAAACUCCGCAACAGUCAUGCGCUAAAUUUUGGGAUGCCUGACAAGGUCGCACCGUCGUCUAAAAGCUGCAACAAAAGGAAGCAACCGGAAGUUUGAUCAUCUGAGGAGCUGGUGUUGUGAGCUUCUCCAAAAGCUUUGGCUGUCAGGCCCAUCUAGAAUUUUACGUAGCGGUGCCAUUGAAGUGGCCAUUACCUGGAGCACGAGAGAGAGAGAGAGAGAGUUUCCACAAAGUUUUCCAACGAGCAGCCAGUCCAAGAGAGCGUUAGAUGGCAGCCAAGCUCACGUAAAAUCGAGAUUGCCAAGAGCGUAGAAAAUACGUUCAAGGAGGUCGCAAGUAGAGGCCAUCGCAUCUAAGAUCGAUCGAAGAAGAAAGGAUGAAAACCAGCGAUCGAAACGAGAAAAAAGGAGACCUUACAGUGCUUGACGAGCGAUGACACGGCUUGAGCGGCGGAGUCGCCAAAUGUGUUAGCACUGGAAGAGAGCUCGGACGAUCGGUUUAGCGAGAGGGAUCGCGAGACCGGUCAUUAAAAGCAUGCAAAGCUUGAUGCCUCGAUCAUCUGGAGCAAACGCGAGAAGUAUCGAAAGAGUUACUUCAACCUGCAAAAGCCAUUGAGCCAAAGCUCCCACUGUCGAGGCCAAAACGAGCAAAACACCUCCUGUCAAGCACCACUUUGUAUGAAUCGACUUUAAAGCUCAAGGCAAUGAGGAUUGCACAGCUUGCAAUGAAUUGCAGCCUGCAUGGAGCCAAGAACACAGUCAAGAACACACGAAUCUUUUGUCUUGUAACCAAAACUUACAGCGAGAAUGAUCAAUAUGCUUGAUAGAGCAGGACUCAAGGAUGCAAUCCCGUAUCUUCCCGAGACACUGCACACGAAAACCCAUUCCAAAGUUUGGCUGCAAACUGGACGAGAAAACUCGGUCAAAACUUCCACAGCCGAUUCCCAUCAAGCACGCGAGUGUUACACAAGGCGCCAUGAUUCUUAGCUAGAGGUUUUCUUCUUCUGAAGCUACCUGAAGUAUAGCCAUGCUUCUCGUGAUCAAUACACCGCUUAUUUUCAAUAACAAUCUGUUUGGAAAGCUUUUGAGAUUCUACGACAGAAGGAAUGCUCAAAACUUACCCUGGUGCGAUUGCAUCAAUAAGAAAAGCCGCUAAUGUGUACAUGAGAAUGCCAAGGCUCAAAGAUACCUGAUAAAAAAGAGGAUGGUGUAAACGUAGGGGAAAAAAACCGGUUUUCAUUUGAGAUCUUGCUAAAAGAGGAUGAAAAAAAUGACUUAAAGAAACUGGAUUGGUCCAUUGAUUCCUGUAAGAAUUAACGGUGAGUUUUGCUCGAUGCUUCAGCUAGAAACUGUAUACCUCCAAGGAUUAUCAGAAAAAAUCCUGGUACAAUGGACGCAUAUCUACAAACUUUCGAACUUAGCGAAGAGCACCAUGAACUCGAUGCAUACCCGAACGCAUCUACGACAGGACCAACACCAAAUACAGCAGCAAGAACAAGCUCACGAACUAAUCCCUGUGAAGGGGUGAAGAAAAAACUCAGAAAUCUUGCAAAGAAUGAAAAACAUUUUUAACACGAGAGGGAUACAACAAGACUUACCAAGACUUUGCUAAGAGCAGUAGCACUUCCAGUCACUCCCGCUAGCUUCAAAAACUUACCACCGCCUUCUGAGAAGAAAAUAAUGUUGAGAAGAAACGACAAAGAGAAAGAAGAAAAACCUUCGGAGUCAUUCUCGUUGAGCUCAAACAAAGACGUAUUGCGAGAGCAUACCUGAGCAAUUAGUUUGCCGGAAACUAGAAGCCCACUUGAGAGGGAGGCCCUCCUACCGAGAGACAAGGAGCCUGGAGGCGAAAAACAUGAAUCAUCACAGCUUCGUUUCUUCUUACCUGGGCACUGACGAACCGAUCCAUUCGAGAGAAAGACCCACAAGUCGCUCACACCUCAAGAUGACCUUUCUCUCUCUGUUUCUCUCUCAAGAGGGUUUUGGACAAUAAGCUAUAUCGAUCAUUAAGAGAGUUUACUGAUUUCGAGAGUUCUCAUCCCAUUCUUACUCGUGACCUUUUUUCAUUUUCUUAUUUCAAUAAAGAUAUCGCAAGCUUGUUUGUAACACAUAUACGGCUGUGACGUAGACUUUUCCACCACCCCUGUUCUGGUUUAGGGCUCCGUCAUGAAGUGGUCCGACACGAAGAUUUCUGACAACGUACACGUUUGUUUUAAAACGUCAGUUCGCGGUCUUGUUUUCAAAGAAGUAAAUGGGUUGGUAUACGUUCUGACACAACAUACCAUACGUCUUUCUUAUGUCUGUAAACAAUGAAAAUGUGCUUUGUUGAUCAUUCAUUAAGAGAGUUUACUGAUUGAAUAAGAUGUACGAGAUGGUGGCGCAGUUGGUCAACACUUAGCUCGUUAGAAAUCCUGAGGUCUGAGGUCGAGAGUUCGAGCAUCUCUAAGAAAGAAUUUCGGGAUUAUUAUUAUUAUUUUUACAUUUUUUCUUUUUUUGGUUUGCUUAACUGAUGGUAAUGGAUAUAUUUAGAAUAUGUUUGGAUAUUCAAAGAUAUUCUACCAUCUAACGGUCAUUAUUUAUUCAGAUUAAUGUAUUUAUAAUUUACAAACAUGUUUAUAAUUUAUAAACUUGCUUAAACACUUUCUAGUAUAUUAUUUUUAAUUCUACCAUCGAUAAUCUUGUAUUUAUAAAUUAUAAACAUGUUUAUAAUUAUAAACUUUUAUUUGAUCAAUUAAAUUAAUAAGUAAAAAUAACACUACUAUUAAACAAACUAAACAUUACUACAUGCAUUGCAUAACAAAUUAUUUUCAAUAAAGGUCUGUGUUGUUGCAGAAAGCUUGUUUGUAACACUUUAUAACUCAGACACUGUUCCACAGACUGGAUGGCUUUUUAGCACCCUUGUCUGAAAGCUUCAUAAUGGACAAAUCAAACUAUUCAAAGACAACUCUUUUGCACUCCACGGAUUGGUAUGGCAUCCUUAUCCUGAGCUGGCUUGCGCCAGUAUGAGCACAUGUAGUUUCUGACCCAUUGGUACCACAUGGUACCACAUGUUUUUCUUAUGUCUGCUCUGGAAUAUUAUUUCAGAAGUUAUAGAAACAACAUAUGGCAGCUUGAAAUCGUGGGCUGCUAUAAAACCCAGGGUAAAAUCUUCAAGCAGCACACAAGAAUGGCUUCUUCAGGAAUUUUCUUCUUUGUUCUUUUUGUUCUCUAUGUUUCUACAGGUAUCAUCUAUCGUCCUUUGAGUGCAUCUUUAAUGUCAUAUAAAUCUCUGUUUUGUGUGUGUAGCCGCUGCCCAAAACGUGCAUUUUGGUUAUGGAGUUUAUCUUCCCACCACGGAUCUGGGAUCUCCGUUGAGGACCCUGAGGCCUAUUUUCAACGAGAGAGCUAACGACUUCUUGCUGACCGAGAAAUAUACCUCUGUCACAAACAACCAUGCCCACACUAGUAACAACCAAGAGCUCUACAGAUCAGUAAGCUAUGCAACGGUACCAGUUCCUAAUCUGAUCGGUGGUUUGCAUUGUGAUCACAGUUUGGAGUUACGUUUGCGAUGAACGUUCCUAUAAAAGUUCUGCAGCUUAACAUCGAGGCAUCGUUCAACAAGAUUGCGGGGAGCAAGACAAGCGUCAAGACCACCUCCGUGUUUGUGGAGUCAUACAACCAGAGGAUCUACCUCCGGAACCAUGCAAGGACCGUCCAAACCCUCCCACUCAACUCUGAUUUCCUCAGUGACUUGCGCAACCUUCCCGAGCCACCCAACUCCGACAGCGCUUGGGGGCCAUACCGAUCCUUCUUGAACAAGUGGGGAACACACUACGUGUCCGAGACGUUCCACGGCUCAUGGCUGCGCCAGUGGACCGUGGCCU
rnacentral:lncRNA from 1 species